rnacentral:lncRNA from 1 species
AGUAUUCAAUUUAACUGCAGCUCUUCCAUGGUCCUUGUUUUAGAUGGUGUCGGGUUUCAGGGUUAACUCCACCUCUCAAGUUUUGCAGUGUCUAGGAUGAUUUGAGCCCUGGUAGCUUUUGUUUCACGCGUGAGGAAAUUGGGACUUGUCAAAUAACUCUUCACUUAAAGGACUUGCACAUGCCACAACAGAAUCACAGGGAUUACUCAUUUCUGUAAUCAAUAGCGAGCUCAGAAUUCUUUAGCAGCAUAAUGCGACUACCGUUGCAAUUUUUUCUCAGUUAGGGUUAGGGUUUAGAUUUGAAACUUAUCUCAUCAGAACGUUGACCAGUGAGCAAAUACCUAUGAAGUGUACCGUUAUUAUUCUGCAAUGCUUCAUCUUGAUUUGUGACUGGAGAUAGAUUGUUCCUUCACCUUGAUUACUCAUCAGGUGGUUAUUCUCUGCUUAGUAGACUCAUAGGAAGUGUCCCGCAAUGUGAACGUUGAGGUUCAAUUGCUGGAUUUUUGUUUAUAUUACUGUUAUCCCUGUAAACUUAACGCCUUGUUAGCAAUUGAAAUUUAUCCUUCACGUUGUAGCUGAUUGCAAGGUCCUUUCAAAUGUUGAUUGUGGUCAGCCUGGAAACCGACAUGUAGUGUCCAAAACUAAGCGCAUGGCUGCUUGUAUCGACAAUCCUAAUCCACGUCUUUGAAAGAAUAAGCUCUAAUCUGAAAGCGGCUGUGGUAUAUGUGUAGGCAGCAUUUGAGCUUCAUUACAUAGUAAAUUCGGUUGCAAUCACGGAAAGCAUUGUGACCAAUUUCUGGAUCAGCCUCAACACAAUGCGUCUAAUUUCACUUGUACAUGCUCCACGCACCUGUAUACCCACGUGUGGGUCAAUUGCAAUUUAACGCAGGAU